rnacentral:rRNA from 1 species
AUUGAACGCUGGCGGCAGGCUUAACACAUGCAAGUCGAGCGGGGUGAUGGUGCUUGCACUAUCACUUAGCGGCGGACGGGUGAGUAAUGCUUAGGAAUCUGCCUAUUAGUGGGGGACAACAUCUCGAAAGGGAUGCUAAUACCGCAUACGUCCUACGGGAGAAAGCAGGGGAUCACUUGUGACCUUGCGCUAAUAGAUGAGCCUAAGUCGGAUUAGCUAGUUGGUGGGGUAAAGGCCUACCAAGGCGACGAUCUGUAGCGGGUCUGAGAGGCUGAUCCGCCACACUGGGACGGAGACACGGCCCAGACUCCUACGGGAGGCAGCAGUGGGGAAUAUUGGACAAUGGGGGGAACCCUGAUCCAGCCAUGCCGCGUGCGUGAAGAAGGCCUUAUGGUUGUAAAGCACUUUAAGCGAGGAGGAGGCUCUUUUGGUUAAUACCCAAGAUGAGUGGACGUUACUCGCAGAAUAAGCACCGGCUAACUCUGUGCCAGCCGCCGCAGUAA